rnacentral:tRNA from 3 species
ACUAUUUUGGCAGAUUAUAUGCGUUAGGUUUAGGACCUAAUUAGAUAGAGGUUUCUAUAGAUAGUU